rnacentral:rRNA from 1 species
CUCAACUUGAGAGUUUGAUCCUGGCUCAGAACGAACGCUGGCGGCAGGCUUAACACAUGCAAGUCGAACGCUCCGCAAGGAGAGUGGCAGACGGGUGAGUAACACGUGGGAACGUACCCUUUACUACGGAACAACUCCGGGAAACUGGAGCUAAUACCGUAUGUGCCCUUCGGGGGAAAGAUUUAUCGGUAAAGGAUC